GGAAGUUAAUUUAAUCCUUGGAGUUUUAUAUGUGUACUCACUAUCUUAAAUGGUAUGUUUUUUUUUUUUUUUUGAGAUAUGGUCUCACUGUGUAGUUCAGAUUGGCCUUGAACUCACUAUAUAGCCCAGGCUGACUUCAAACUCACAGCGAUCCUCCUGCCUCAGUCUCAGAUUUGAGUUUUCUCUUUAACUUGAGUUACUUAGAAGCAUCAGUAUUUAUUCUAAUAGUUUAAAUUUGAAAUGUUCCCUAAAGGCCCUGAGUUAAAGGCUUGGCACUCAGCUUGGUGCUAUUGUGGGGGCAGGGGUGGUUAUGGAAUCGUUAAGAGAAAAAACCUUAGUGGGAGAUUUUAGAUCAUUUGGGGGCAUGUGUUUGAAGGACAUUGUUGGAUGCCAGUCUUUUCUCUCGUUUCCUAGCCAUUCAAUGAACAGGUUUCCUUUGCCAUAUCCUCCUGUCACAAUGUACUUCCUUGCCCCGGGCCCAGAAGUAACAAGACCAACUGACCAUGGACUGAAACCUCCAAAACUACCAUUGGAGGGAAGUAAAUAGUUGUCAGUUAUCAGCAGUAAAUCCCGAUGUCAACAAGUUUCAAGAUGAAGUCCUACAAAACAGGAAGAGAACUUAUCAA
rnacentral:lncRNA from 1 species